rnacentral:rRNA from 1 species
GGAAGGUCCGGGCGUUAUCCGGAUUUAUUGGGUUUAAAGGGAGCGUAGGCGGAUUUUUAAGUCAGUUGUGAAAGUUCACGGCCCAACCGUGAAAUUGCAGUUGAAACUGAAAGUCUCGAGUGCACGCAGGGAUGCUGGAAUUCGUGGUGUAGCGGUGAAAUGCUUAGAUAUCACGAAGAACUCCGAUCGCGAAGGCAUGUGUCCGGAGUGCAACUGACGCUGAGGCUCGAAUGUGCGGGUAUCAAACAGGAUUAGAUACCCUGGUAGUCCGCACAGUAAACGAUGGACACUCGCUGUUGGCGAUAUACAGUCAGCGGCCGAGCGAAAGCGUUAAGUGUCCCACCUGGGGAGU